rnacentral:rRNA from 1 species
AUUGAACGCUGGCGGCAGGCCUAACACAUGCAAGUCGAGCGAGCGGCGGACGGGUGAGUAAUGUCUGGGAAACUGCCUGAUGGAGGGGGAUAACUACUGGAAACGGUAGCUAAUACCGCAUACCAUCAGAUGUGCCCAGAUGGGAUUAGCUAGUAGGGGGGGUACCGGCUCACCUAGGCGACGAUCCCUAGCUGGUCUGAGAGGAUGACCAGCCACCCGGGAACUGAGACACUGUCCAGACUCCUACGGUAGGCAGCAGUGGGGAAUAUUGCACAAUGGGCGCAAGCCGGAUGCAGCCAUGCCGCGUGUGGGAAGAAGGCCUUCGGGUUGUAAAGCACGUUCAGCGGGGAGGCGUUACCCGCAGAAGAAGCACCGGCUAACUCCGUGCCAGCAGCCGCGGUAAUUC